AUUGAACGCUGGCGGCAGGCCUAACACAUGCAAGUCGAGCGGUUGACGGGAGCUUGCUCCCUGAUUCAGCGGCGGACGGGUGAGUAAUGCCUAGGAAUCUGCCUAUUAGUGGGGGACAACGUUUCGAAAGGAACGCUAAUACCGCAUUCGUCCUACGGGAGAAAGCAGGGGACCUUCGGGCCUUGCGCUAUCAGAUGAGCCUAGGUCGGAUUAGCUAGUUGGUGAGGUAAUGGCUCACCAAGGCGAAGAUCCGUAACUGGUCUGAGAGGAUGAUCAGUCACACUGGAAAUGAGACAGGGUCCAGACGCCUACGGGAGGCAGCAGUGGGGAAUAUUGGACAAUGGGCGAAAGCCUGAUCCAGCCAUGCCGCGUGUGUGAAGAAGGUCUUCGGAUUGUAAAGCACUUUAAGUUGGGAGGAAGGGUUGUAGAUUAAUACUCUGCAAUUUUGACGUUACCGACAGAAUAAGCACCGGCUAACUCUGUGCCAGCAGCCGCCGUAAAAC
rnacentral:rRNA from 1 species